rnacentral:rRNA from 1 species
CCUACGGGUGGCAGCAGUCGAGAAUCAUUCACAAUGGGGGAAACCCUGAUGGUGCGACGCCGCGUGGGGGAAUGAAGGUCUUCGGAUUGUAAACCCCUGUCAUGUGGGAGCAAAUUAAAAAGAUAGUACCACAAGAGGAAGAGACGGCUAACUCUGUGCCAGCAGCCGCGGUAAUACAGAGGUCUCAAGCGUUGUUCGGAAUCACUGGGCGUAAAGCGUGCGUAGGCUGUUUCGUAAGUCGUGUGUGAAAGGCGAGGGCUCAACCCGCGGACGGCACAUGAUACUGCGAGACUAGAGUAAUGGAGGGGGAGCCGGAAUUCUCGGUGUAGCAGUGAAAUGCGUAGAUAUCGAGAGGAACACUCGGGGCGAAGGCGGGUUCCUGGACAUUAACUGACGCUGAGGCACGAAGGCCAGGGGAGCGAAAGGGAUUAGAUACCCUAGUAGUC